rnacentral:rRNA from 1 species
ACGGGAGGCAGCAGUGGGGGAUAUUGCACAAUGGGGGAAACCCUGAUGCAGCGACGCCGCGUGAGUGAUGAAGUAUUUCGGUAUGUAAAGCUCUAUCAGCAGGGAAGAUAAUGACGGUACCUGACUAAGAAGCACCGGCUAAAUACGUGCCAGCAGCCGCGGUAAUACGUAUGGUGCAAGCGUUAUCCGGAUUUACUGGGUGUAAAGGGAGCGUAGACGGCAAGGCAAGCCAGAUGUGAAAGGCUGGGGCUCAACCCUGGGACUGCAUUUGGAACUGUCUAGCUAGAGUAUUGGAGAGGUAAGUGGAAUUCCUAGUGUAGCGGUGAAAUGCGUAGAUAUUAGGAGGAACACCAGUGGCGAAGGCGGCUUACUGGACGAUAACUGACGUUGAGGCUCGAAAGCGUGGGGAGCAAACAGGAUUAGAUACCCUGGUA